rnacentral:rRNA from 1 species
GCAGUCGACGAUUAAGCACCUUCGGGUGUGUAUAGAGUGGCGAACGGGUGAGUAACACGUGACCAACCUGCCUCUUACAUUGGGACAACCAAAAGAAAUUCUGGCUAAUACCAAAUACUCCGCACAUAUCACAUGAUGUAUGCGGGAAAGCUUUUGCGGUAAGAGAUGGGGUCGCGGCCCAUUAGGUAGACGGCGGGGUAGAAGCCCACCGUGCCGAUGAUGGGUAGCCGGGUUGAGAGACCGACCGGCCACAUUGGGACUGAGAUACGGCCCAGACUCCUACGGGAGGCAGCAGUGGGGAAUAUUGCGCAAUGGGGGAAACCCUGACGCAGCAACGCCGCGUGCGGGAUGAAGGCCUUCGGGUUGUAAACCGCUUUCAGCAGGGAAGACAUCGACGGUACCUGCAGAAGAAGCCCCGGCUAACUACGUGCCAGCAGCCGCGGUAAUACGUAGGGGGCGAGCGUUAUCCGGAUUCAUUGGGCGUAAAGCGCGCGCAGGCGGUUGCUCAAGCGGAACCUCUAAUCUCGGGGCUUAACCUCGAGCCGGGUUCCGAACUGGACGACUCGAGUGCGGUAGAGGCAGAUGGAAUUCCCGGUGUAGCGGUGGAAUGCGCAGAUAUCGGGAAGAACACCAACGGCGAAGGCAGUCUGCUGGGCCGUCACUGACGCUGAGGCGCGAAAGCUGGGGGAGCGAACAGGAUUAGAUACCCUGGUAGUCCCAGCCGUAAACGAUGAGCGCUGGGUGUGGGAGAUUACAUCUUCCGUGCCGAAGCUAACGCAUU